AGAGGACGUGAAACCGGUAGGGUGGAAGCAGAUAAAGUUGACGAACGUGUGUCGUAUUCAGAAUUACAAUUUGUGGUUUGUUUUUACGAUCGAUGUGGGCUGGCGUCUUUGGUUAACUUGGUGUCUGGCGGCAAUGGUGACCCUGCGGAGGGAUACUCGGUUGUCGUGCGAUGCUUGGUACGGCUAGAGGUUCGCUGGUUUUAUAGUCAUCGCUUUAUCUGACCCGUCUUGAAACACGGACCAAGGAGUGUACCGCUUACGCGAGUCUUAGAGUGUGUCAAAACUUUGAGGCGUAACGAAAGUAAAUGUGGAUUUAUUCACUGACUUGGGAUACGUUGUCUUUUUUGGAUAGCGUUGGACCAUGGUUUUAUCGUAAUCGCUUGCGAUGCGGUGAAAAUAGAGCGUAAGCGGUGCGACCCGAAAGAUGGUGAACUAUGCCUGAGCAGGAUGAAGCCGGAGGAAACUCUGGUGGAAGUCCGAAGCGGUUCUGACGUGCAAAUCGAUCGUCUGACUUGGGUAUAGGGGCGAAAGACUAAUCGAACCAUCUGGUAGCUGGUUUCCUCUGAAGUUUCC
rnacentral:rRNA from 1 species